ACUUCAAAUGAUGAUUUCUAUUACCGCCCCAGUCUGAUUUUUGUGACUGAUUGGUGAUUCUGAUUGAUU